UCCCAUAGUUGGCAAACUUAUCGAAAGGUUAGGACGCAAAGCCAUGGGUCUACUGUACCACGGGUACUAUGAUUGCCAGGUUGCCGUU
rnacentral:ncRNA from 1 species